rnacentral:rRNA from 1 species
GUGGCGCACGGCUGAGGAACACGUGGGUGACCUGCCCCGGAGUGGGGGAUACCCCGUCGAAAGACGGGACAAUCCCGCAUACGGUUUACGGAGGAAAGCCCCUACGGGCGCUCUGGGAGGGGCCUGCGGCCAUCAGGUUGUUGGUGUGGUAACGGGGCACCAAGCCACUGACGGGUACCGGUUUGAGAGGACGGCCGGGCAGACUGGGACUGCGACACGGCCCAGACUCCUACGGGAGGCAGCAGCAAGGAAUUUUUCCCAAAUGGGCGCAAGCCUGAGGGAGCAACGCCGCGUGGAGGACGACGGCCUUCGGGUUGUAAACUCCUUUCGGGUGGGACGACCACGACGGUACCACCAGAAGCAGCCCCGGCUAACUCUGUGCCAGCAGCCGCGGUAAGACAGAGGGGGCAAGCGUUGUCCGGAGUUACUGGGCGUAAAGGGCGCGGAGGCGGUCUGCGGCGUGCGGCGCUGAAAGCGCCCCGCUUAACGGGGCGAGGCGUGCCGAUACGCGCAGACUUGAGGCGAGCAGAGGGUGGUGGAAUUCCGGGUGGAGCGGUGAAAUGCGUAGAGAUCCGGAGGAACGCCAGUGAGGAAGCCGGCCACCUGGGCUCGUCCUGACGCUGCGACGCGACAGCGUGGGGAGCAAACCGGAUUAGAUACCCGGGUAGUCCACGCCGUAAACGAUGCCAGCUCGGCGUGUGCGCACGGUUGUCGCUGCGUGCCUUAGCUCACGCGAUAAGCUGGCCGCCUGGGGACUACGAGCGCAAGCUUAAAACUCAAAGGAAUUGACGGGGGCCCGCACAAGCAGCGGAGCGUGUGGUUUAAUUCGACGCAACACGAAGAACCUUACCUGGGCUUGACAUGACGCUGCACGCCGUCGAAAGACGGCCGCCUGCGAGGGCCCGUC